rnacentral:rRNA from 1 species
UACAGAGGGUGCAAGCGUUGUUCGGAAUUAUUGGGCGUAAAGCGCGUGUAGGCGGCAUGGCAAGUCGGGGUGUGAAAGCCCUCAGCUUAACUGAGGAAGUGCGCCCGAAACUGCCGUGCUUGAGUGCCGGAGAGGGUGGCGGAAUUCCCCAAGUAGAGGUGAAAUUCGUAGAUAUGGGGAGGAACACCGGUGGCGAAGGCGGCCACCUGGACGGUAACUGACGCUGAGACGCGAAAGCGUGGGGAGCAAACAGG